GGAGAGAUGCCGGAGCGGUCGAACGGGGCGGUCUCGAAAACCGUUAGGGGUGCAAGCCCCUCCAGGGUUCGAAUCCCUGUCUCUCCG
rnacentral:tRNA from 1 species